rnacentral:rRNA from 1 species
CACUAUGCCUAGCCUUAAACUUAGAUAGACUCCUACUUGUACCUAUUCGCCCGGGAACUACGAGCACCAGCUUGAAACCCAAAGGACUUGGCGGCGCUUCACACCCACCUAGAGGAGCCUGUUCUAGAACCGAUAACCCCCGUUGAACCUCACCUUCUCUUGUUCUCCCCGCCUAUAUACCGCCGUCGUCAGCCCACCCUGUGAAGGCCUAGUAGUGAGCUAAAUUGGCAAAGCCCAAAACGUCAGGCCGAGGUGUAGCGUAUGAGAAGGGAAGAAAUGGGCUACAAUUGCUAAAACAGCUAAAACGGAUUGUUACGCUGAAAGUGCAAACAUGAAGGAGGAUUUAGAAGUAAGGAGGAAAUAGAGUGUCCUCCUGAAAUGGUCCUGAAGCGUGCACACACCGCCCGUCACUCUCCCCAGUAUAAAUAUUUUUAUUAACUAAACAUUUCAUCCUACAAUAGGGGAGGCAAGUCGUAA